AGGCAGGGCAUCCCUGCCCUUCCUUAAACCGUUCCUCCGGGAAC
rfam:Synechococcus sp. KORDI-100, complete genome.